GAUGAACGCUGGCGGCGUGCCUAAUACAUGCAAGUCGAGCGAAUGGAUUAAGAGCUUGCUCUUAUGAAGUUAGCGGCGGACGGGUGAGUAACACGUGGGUAACCUGCCCAUAAGACUGGGAUAACUCCGGGAAACCGGGGCUAAUACCGGAUAACAUUUUGAACCGCAUGGUUCGAAAUUGAAAGGCGGCUUCGGCUGUCACUUAUGGAUGUACCCGCGUCGCAUUAGCUAGUUGGUGAGGGAACGGCUUACCAAGGCAACGAUGCGUAGCCGACCUGAGAGGGUGAUCGGCCACACUGGGACUGAGACACGGCCCAGACUCCCACGGGAGGCAGCAGUAGGGAAUCUUCCGCAAUGGACGAAAGUCUGACGGAGCAACGCCGCGUGAGUGAUGAAGGCUUUCGGGUCGUAAAACUCUGUUGUUAGGGAAGAACAAGUGCUAGUUGAAUAAGCUGGCACCUUGACGGUACCUAACCAGAAAGCCACGGUUAACUACGUGCCAGCAGCCGCCGCCG
rnacentral:rRNA from 1 species